GAUGAACGCUGGCGGCGUGCCUAAUACAUGCAAGUCGAGCGAACAGACGAGGAGCUUGCUCCUCUGACGUUAGCGGCGGACGGGUGAGUAACACGUGGAUAACCUACCUAUAAGACUGGGAUAACUUCGGGAAACCGGAGCUAAUACCGGAUAAUAUAUUGAACCGCAUGGUUCAAUAGUGAAAGACGGUUUUGCUGUCACUUAUAGAUGGAUCCGCGCCGCAUUAGCUAGUUGGUAAGGUAACGGCUUACCAAGGCAACGAUGCGUAGCCGACCUGAGAGGGUGAUCGGCCACACUGGAACUGAGACACGGUCCAGACUCCUACGGGAGGCAGCAGUAGGGAAUCUUCCGCAAUGGGCGAAAGCCUGACGGAGCAACGCCGCGUGAGUGAUGAAGGUCUGCGGAUCGUAAAACUCUGUUAUUAGGGAAGAACAAAUGUGUAAGUAACUAUGCACGUCUGGACGGUACCUAAGCAGAAAGCCACGGCUAACUACGG
rnacentral:rRNA from 1 species